rnacentral:rRNA from 1 species
AGUGAACGCUGGCGGUAGGCCUAACACAUGCAAGUCGAACGGCAGCACAGUAAGAGCUUGCUCUUACGGGUGGCGAGUGGCGGACGGGUGAGGAAUACAUCGGAAUCUACUUUUUCGUGGGGGAUAACGUAGGGAAACUUACGCUAAUACCGCAUACGACCUACGGGUGAAAGCAGUGGAUCUUCGGACCUUGCGCGAUUGAAUGAGCCGAUGUCGGAUUAGCUAGUUGGCGGGGUAAAGGCCCACCAAGGCGACGAUCCGUAGCUGGUCUGAGAGGAUGAUCCGCCACACUGGAACUGAGACACGGUCCAGACUCCUACGGGAGGCAGCAGUGGGGAAUAUUGGACAAUGGGCGCAAGCCUGAUCCAGCCAUACCGCGUGGGUGAAGAAGGCCUUCGGGUUGUAAAGCCCUUUUGUUGGGAAAGAAAAGCAGCAGGUUAAUCCCCCGCUGUUCUGACGGUACCCAAAGAAUAAGCACCGGCUAACUUCGUG